GAAGCUUUCCUGUGGAUUUGACGAAGGCCAUCUCUGCAAGUGGCAAACAUCCAGUGGGCCGGGAGGUGCGACUUGGUUGCUCAGCGAUGUCGAGAACGGUCGUCCUGAACUGCCACGUCAGGAUCACACUCUUGGAACAUCUAAAGGAAAGUUCAUCUACGUAGAAAAUAAAGCAAAGAACAGCACCAUCAAGGCAACGCUCCUGAGCCCACCACUAGACCUGGACUGGGUUGGAGCAGCUUGUCUAUCGUUCUGGCACUUCGCGGUUCAGGAUAAUCCGAGCAGUUGCAAUCUGACUGUAUUGUCAGCCAACGAAAGUGAAUGGUGGUCGGGUUCACAGCAGCUGAAACGUUCCUGGACCCAAGAAGUCAUCCGGAUUUGGCUACAAGAAGGCAAAGUGAGAAGCUAGUAGGAUUAACAUUAAAUGAAGAGUGCACUUACGCAAUUGCCUGCUACGUCUCUUGCGACGGACGUGCCUGACAACGA